CUAUUUAUUCAAAUAUUUUACUCACUUUUAAUUAUUGUAUAUCACAUGAUGUAUUCAUAAGAUGUGGUAGGCAUGGAAAUUAAACUAUAACAGUAACAACAAACAACAGCAGCCAAUUAUUAUACCGGUGCUCAUUUAGAAGAAAAAUAAAAUGCAAUCGGUGCUGGCACGUAUAGCAACAUCUAGUAGCUUCUGGUCGGUACUCGGUGCAGCCAACUAAAAAAGCAAUCCACACCGAGAGCGACCUCCAACUGCGUGCCUUAUCGACACCGGCUGUUCUCCCUGCUAGCCACACACACACCCACGCGACCGUGCUCCAGUCCACGGCGCCGCGUUGCCCUUCUCUCUUCCCUCCUCUCUUAAAUCCUCCGAGCUUUUGUCGGCCAGUUGUGGCGCGGCUGCGUAUGGGCUCCUGGUGGCCGGGCCUGCGCGUGGGGGCGGACUGGGUCUGUGGCGGAGGCGCGACAGCGGUGGCCGGCGGCUGCUUGACGGGGCCACGUGGAUCUGCCGCCGGGGCUGCGGAUCGGCGUGGUCGUCUGAGCCCCAAGUUUUCGACGCCGAGGACUUGAGGGAAGGAGCCAAGCGAAUGAGAGGAAGAUGAGGAAGGGCUUGAUCUCGAGGAACCAGCCUGCACUGAGCCCCGCCGCCUCAUCAGGAGCUCGUCUCCCUGCCUGCCGGCGGCUAACCGGAGCCACCACCGCCGGUGACCGCAUCCCUCACCUUGUGCCCCUCCUCCUUCUCCUUUCUUCCUCUCUUCCCCGAGGAGCGGGGAGCCGGCGGGUCCGUCGGUCAGGAGCUAGGCCGCGCUCUCCAUCAUCGCCGCCGUUUGGGGAGGGACGCGGUGCAGGUCGACGCGGCACGGGGCAGGAGGUGGCAGCAGGAUGGACGUGGAGAUGGGAUCGAGGAGGCAGGGUCGUGCGGGGCGCUGUUUUUCUUUUUCUCUCCUGUGUGUCGGUUUGGGGCUGACUAAUGAUGGAAGUGUGGGUUCAAUUUCCAAAAAAGAGAAGGGUCUUUUUGCAAAAGUGCGACGACGGGUGUGUGGGCAUAAGCAGUAGAUGCUUUAUUAUUAGGUAAAGAUUAACUGGGUUUUUCAGCCAUUUUAUGCACAUAAUUUAAAUUUGAACUACAUGCACAUUCUCCAGUGCAGAUAAACUAGUUGAAAAAUCAAA